AAACAUCUCAUUCAUCAAAAAUAAAAUAAACAAAAUAUGCAUUUAAUUUUACAUACUAUCAAAAUGAAAAAGACUGUAGAGAUCAAACCUUGAAAUCUACAGCCUUCAAAGGCCCAGUGAUCUAAAACUGAUGUUACUUGUCUGUUUUCUUAAAGUAUACAGAUCAUUUUACAAAGACCCAGAAAUCUAAGGCAAAAUAGUAUAUUCCGUGUACACUUUUUAGAGAAUAUAAACUAUGAGAAACUUCGUAUUCCUUUCCAUUUUGAUGCUGACGGUCUCCGGUCAAGGGUGUAUACCACAGUUUCAAUCUGCAGACUAUUUCUAUGACCAAAGAGAUUUGUUUUAUAGAAUGAUGCCUCAAUUGUUCAGCUCCAGAUCCAGACCACGUGUAUCUAAUAGUACAAGUAGUUCGACGUUGACAAGACUUUACUAUAAUGGUUAAU